GGAGGAAUAUUGCACAAUGGGCGAAAGCCUGAUGCAGCAACGCCGCGUGAGGGACGAAGGCCUUCGGGUCGUAAACCUCUUUUCUGAGGGAAGAGACAAGGACGGUACCUCAGGAAUAAGUCUCGGCUAACUACGUGCCAGCAGCCGCGGUAAAACGUAGGAGGCGAGCGUUAUCCGGAAUUACUGGGCGUAAAGCGCACGCAGGCGGCUUGGUAAGUUGGACGUGAAAGCUCCUGGCUUAACUGGGAGAGGUCGUUCGAAACUGCUGAGCUUGAGGCUGGAAGAGGGGUGUGGAAUUCCCGGUGUAGUGGUGGAAUGCGUAGAUAUCGGGAGGAACACCAGUGGCGGAAGCGGCACCCUGGUCCAGGCCUGACGCUGAUGUGCGAAAGCGUGGGGUGCA
rnacentral:rRNA from 1 species